UCUCUCUCCCAAGCAAAUAAAACUUUCAUUUCGGAACUUACACCUCGAAAAAAAUCCAUCAGCUUCACAUUCGAUCCUCUCGUAUGACCUACUUCUGCUCGGCGAAUAUUCAGACGGUAGGUCAGUUCCCGCGUUUACACAAAACUCGGGCAACCGGCGCGUUUAUACGCGCUGGAUCGGCCGUGAUCGUCGCCGAAUCCGCGGCCAGAGGGAGACAGCAGACAAAAAGUACGUUUGGCACACUCCACCAUUAGCGGUCGCGGCGAGGAGGCCCGGAACGAUCGGCCGUAACUCAUCCGAUGAGCACGAGGAUCAGACCAGCUCUGCUCUCCGUUACUCACUGACAGCCAGUCGUGGAAAAAGUUAACUUAUUCUAAGCGUGAAACCAGACCCGGACUCCGAAAAGAAGCUGCACAUCGUAAUCAGUCCCCUCGCGUGCCAUCGUCUGUGCUCGACUUUCGCAGGAACCAGAGCGUCUUCCGUUCCUUUAUUACCGGCAAAGCUGAAUCCUGAUUCGUCUCGCCUGACGAGCUGAAAUCUCCCGGCUAGGUUUUGUAACGGGCGAGGCGGACAUUGUAGACGGUCAGUGAGGGCAAUCUUUUGAUGGGAGAUGGUGAGAAGUUUUUUGCUCAUUGAUGUGAUUGUCCAGGAAUUUAUGAGAUAAUGACAGGCGCUAAAAUUAUACUUCGUGGGAGAGAAAAUGGUUGGACUCUUUCUGCUGGGAAGUAUCUGGAUACUUGUUUGGCGUUGAUAGAAUGUAAUUUAACUACGAAGUGGUGGUCAUUCUUUACGAUCGUGACAUAAAGAGGAUGAAAUUUUUUUGUAGAAAACAGCAUGCAAUAAUAAAAUUCUUUAUUGUCAAACUUCA